AUUGAACGCUGGCGGCAUGCUUUACACAUGCAAGUCGAACGGUAACAGGCCGCAAGGUGCUGACGAGUGGCGAACGGGUGAGUAAUGCAUCGGAACGUGCCCAGUCGUGGGGGAUAACGCAGCGAAAGCUGCGCUAAUACCGCAUACGAUCUAUGGAUGAAAGCGGGGGACCGUAAGGCCUCGCGCGAUUGGAGCGGCCGAUGUCAGAUUAGGUAGUUGGUGGGGUAAAGGCGCACCAAGCCAACGAGCUGUAGCUGGUCUGAGAGGACGACCAGGCACACUGGGACUGAGACACGGCCCAGACUCCUACGGGAGGCAGCAGUGGGGAAUUUUGGACAAUGGGCGCAAGCCUGAUCCAGCAAUGCCGCGUGCAGGAAGAAGGCCUUCGGGUUGUAAACUGCUUUUGUACGGAACGAAACGGUCUGGGCUAAUACCUCGGGCUAAUGACGGUACCGUAAGAAUAAGCACCGGCUAACUACGUGCCAGCCGCCGCAGUAAAAC
rnacentral:rRNA from 1 species